GACGAACGCUGGCGGCGCGCCUAACACAUGCAAGUCGAACGAGCGAGAGAGAGCUUGCUUUCUUGAGCGAGUGGCGAACGGGUGAGUAACGCGUGAGGAACCUGCCUCAAAGAGGGGGACAACAGUUGGAAACGACUGCUAAUACCGCAUAAGCCCACGACCCGGCAUCGGGUUGAGGGAAAAGGAGCAAUCCGCUUUGAGAUGGCCUCGCGUCCGAUUAGCUGGUUGGUGAGGUAACGGCCCACCAAGGCGACGAUCGGUAGCCGGACUGAGAGGUUGAACGGCCACAUUGGGACUGAGACACGGCCCAGACUCCUACGGGAGGCAGCAGUGGGGAAUAUUGCACAAUGGGGGAAACCCUGAUGCAGCGACGCCGCGUGGAGGAAGAAGGUCUUCGGAUUGUAAACUCCUGUUGUUGAGGAAGAUAAUGACGGUACUCAACAAGGAAGUGACGGCUAACUACGUG
rnacentral:rRNA from 1 species